rnacentral:rRNA from 1 species
UCCUACGGGUGGCUGCAGUGAGGAAUAUUGGGCAAUGCCCGCAAGGGUGACCCAGCAACGCCGCGUGGAGGAUGAAUGCCGUAAGGUUGUAAACUCCUGUUAGAGGGGACGAAUGAUUCCGAUUGCAUCGGAAGUUGACUGUACCCUCAGAGAAAGCCCCGGCUAACUACGUGCCAGCAGCCGCGGUAAUACGUAGGGGGCAAGCGUUGUCCGGAUUUACUGGGUGUAAAGGGCGCGCAGGUGGGCUUGAUAGUUAGAGGUGAAAUCCUGUGGCUUAACUGCAGAACUGCCUUUAAUACUUCAAGUCUUGAGUGCGGAAGAGAGAGACGGAAUUCCAGGUGUAGUAGUGAAAUACGUAGAUAUCUGGAAGAACACCAGUUGCGAAGGCGGUCUCUUGGUCCGUAACUGACACUUAGGCGCGAAAGCGUGGGGAGCAAACAGGAUUAGAUACCCCGGUAGUCACG